UCUAGCUGUAGGUAUCCGUGUUCAUUGCAUUGGACUAGGUGACCUUCAGAGGUCCCUUCUGACUCAAAUGAUACUUUGAUUCUAACUUAAAGUGGGGGAGGAGGGAGAGAAUAAGAGUAGCUCCCCCUUCCCCCCUUCUGUGUGAACCUGAGACUACCAGACUGUCUCUCUUUUGACACAUGACGGUAGUAUAAUUCCCCUGAGUUUUAAGUAAAUUUGCUAUUUAUUUGAAUCCCUCAAGUAGUUGUCAUUACUUCUAGUUACUACACAGGGAAUUAAAAGGAUAACCUCACCCUGGCCCGCAGAGUGGGACAGAACAUAAGGCAGUGCUCUGGAACUUGUGGCUUGGACCACAGUGUAAGUGGCUUGCCUGAGAGAGCACUGUGCAGGUACUUGGUUCAGUCUUUACAGAUGUAUUGUAGAACAGGAAAACAUUCAUGAGCUCUGGAAAGAAAUAUUAAGAUCAUUGUUCUGGAGCAGAGUCUCUAAUGCUGCAAUGUAGCCGUUAAACAUCAUGGGGAGGUCAUUGAGGAGCAUAUGCUGAUUGGAGUCAACAAAAUCACAGGUCUCACAUAUGGUAGAACCAAAUAGAGGCAAAAGCUGCAUGGGAUUGUAUUAUUCAGUGAGCUGACAGUUGGCAAAGUGAUGCCCUAGCAAUUGUGUUAGCACUAUUUUCUUCAUUAAAGAGCUCCAUCUGUUUAUGGACCUUGCAUUAAGGCUGGGGCAGGAGUUGUCUCUUGACUAGUUCCAUGCCUGAAGAUCUUGCUAAAAAGGAUGAAAUGUUGUAAUUUUCUUUUUGCUUGAGGCCAAGAAGUAUUCACUUGACAUAAUUCAUCAGUUCUAAGCCCAUAAUCAAAGCACAUGUGGUAAAACAGUGCUAGUUACAUGGUGUUUCUCACAGAUGCUGUAACAAUUCUUUGAUCUCUUUGAAGGGCCGUGAGGUAUUCCAGUGAGAUAUCAUCCAGACUUGCUCCUUCUCUCCUAAGGAUUUAGGGGUUACAAUCCUUUGGCCUGGAGUGCGAAGUUUUAGCUUCAGGAGCUGCAAGAGGAAGACUGUGUUUCUGGGGAAUAGAGAGUAUCCAGAACCCUCAAGGUUGUUUUAUUGUUCUCCCUUCCCUGUCUGCUGCUUCUGUAUGUAAUUCUAUUCUUUUAUUUUUAUUUUUUGUCACCAAACUUCUGUUGAAUUAAGGUGUGGCUUUAUACCCUUGAUGCCUUCUGCAAGUGUUGUGCUAGAAAUGGCAGUGACCAAUUGCACUGGAGCAUUAGGUGCAGCUGAAAUUUUGAUGAGUACGUCAUCAGCUCAUCUGUAAGCAACAGCAAAGGGUGAAGUUUCUGCACACAGGAACCCGUGGCCCACAGGGACACUGUUCAAGAGCACAGUGGGCUGGGCUGAGCUCAGCUGGACACCAUUCUUUUUUCAGGCAUGGAGAUGGGAGGGGAACUCUUUGCUCGGAGGGAGAGGUUCCUGUAUGACCUUGAAAAGCUGAGCAUGUUGUGCUGCUUCUUUGUUCUUUUAGAAGUAAAGUUCUCAGAAUCUCGAAGGAGUUUGAAGAAAGUGGUACCAGGCAAAGCAGUUUGCUUCUAAGGGUGAUAGGACUUAAGUGGAAAAGAUCAGAAAAGCGAGUUUGUAAGAUUUGGAAUUGGGUAGGGGCUGGUGAAAUUUUGAUGGAGCUGCCAACUUCCAGCAGAUCCCAGAAACUCUGGUUGUAGAAAUAUUGCUGGCUAACUAAUAAAGUUGCUAAAUUAUGGCUUUAAAGGCCCUCAGAUCAUGUUUCUGCUCUACCAGAAAGCAGUGUGGCAUGGGAGCUUAUGGUGCAAGCCAGCUGGAGCCAAAGGAAGGGGAAGAGGUGGUUAAUAGUUCCCACAGUGCAAGAACAAAGGGAUGUUAAAUGAAAUAGAAAAUAAGUACAUUUGAAACCUCAUAUAAUUAUGCCACAUGAUAUUACCGAGGCCAAAAGUUUAGUCAGAUUCCAAGCAGACCUGGACGUUUAUAUAUAUAUAAUGAUAAUAUCCAGAGUAGCAGUAAAUAGGAUUAAAAAUAAAUUAGGGAUAUAAACCUUCAUACUAAUUGAUGAGGUCAGGAAGGAAUUUCCCCUUUGGGUGAAUCAUGUCAUUGUUCACUCUGCAAACUGCUCCACCUUCUGAAGCAUCUGGUCCCGAUCAGGGUAGGCAGAACUCUCAGGCAGAUGGACCAGAAAUCUGACCUGUCGUGGCAGUUUGCAGCGCACCCACCCUGGGCAGGAUUCUCUUGGAAAGGAUUGAGAGGUCUUUUUUUUUUUAAGGGAUUCCUUGGGUCAUCUGUACUGCAGUGUGCAUCUGCUUUCCUUGGUGAAAGGUGACAACUAUUGACCAAAUGUCUUUAUGAAAGUGAGAGCACUGUCUGCUAACACGUCUGCUGCUCUGUGAGCAGCUCAGCUAAUGAGGUGUCAUGAUGAGGAGCUUCUCAGAAACAGAAGUGGAUGAUGAUGAGUGGAGAUGAAGAAAUCAUACAUUUAAGAAGUUGGCUCAAGUUUCCGUUACAGGCAUGGAAAGUUUCUGAGACCAAGCCAUGCGAGAAGAACAUGAGUAAAGAAGAGGGAGAUGUAGACCCAGACUUUCUAGAAGGGAUUGCAGGAUUGAGAGGACGCUGCAGAAACAUCACGUAGUUUGCUUGCUUAUUCAUUCACCUGCACCCCUGGAUUGUAAUACCUUGCUUGCAUAUCUGCUUGGAAGUUGAAAAAUCCCCUCACAUCUGUGUCUUUAAUAUAAUCAUGGCUUCAAGCUUGUUUUAGGAAGAGCAUAACUUAUAUCACCGUGGUUUUAUCUGUGGAUUAGAUGGCUGCCACUUUGUACUUUAAAUCAAUUUCAUUUUUCUGUCAAAACAUAUGUUGAAUAGGGAGAAGAUGAGACACAGCAGUUACAGAACAGGAGAUCGGGGGUCUUGCUUGCAUUUAAUUAACAGCCUUUGCCUUUAAGUGUGACAGGUGCUUAGGUCAAAGCAAAAAAAGACAGUGCUGUCCCUCUGAUUUGAGUAACCUCAUAAUGUAUUGUUGUUAUGCUAUCCAUAGACAGAUGUUGUAAUCAAAUAUUAAUCAGUUCAGUCUAUUUGGAUGUUGCUCCCAAAAACGUUCCAGAUAGAUAAGACAUUUUGUCAGAGCUGUGGGGUGUUCAGUGCAGAUUUCUUACAGCUGAGUUGAGAGACCUGUUUACAGAGGUAGUUACUUGAACAUCUUGGCUGUUACUGGAAGUACCUCCAAGGAAAUACUAGCCGAGCUGUUCGGCACGUUGUUGUAAGACCAAUCCAAUGUUAUUAAGAUUUUAACAUUUAUGUAUUGAAACUUUUAACAUUAAAUGUAACUUUCAGUGUUGAGCAGUGCUGCUGGUAGAGGCAUCCUUGCUUUUAAUGUGAAGUCUUAUCUGGCCUUUUAUCCUUAAUGAGAGGCUACGGUUAUUUUUGCACACUGGCUGAAUAUUUGGCCUUUAAGUGUAUGCAGUUACUUACAAGAGUAAAAGCAGUUGCUAAAGGACUGUUUUUCUAAUGAAAAUAGUUUGAAAUCAUGUAAUUUUAGUUGCUUCAGAAUGGAUGUGAUUAGUGUGUUGGAAACAGUUUCACACUGGAUAUAAAGGGAAUGGUUGAGAAACAGUGGCUGAGAAUGUGUCCAGCUAUUUUUACAGCUAACUGUUGUAUUGUAACACUGGGUUCUUUUUUCAAUCUCUUUCCUUAGUUAUUUCCGUAUAAUUGAACAGCUGAAUUAUACAGAGAUAAAAAAGCUAUUUGCACUUCUUUAUAUUUUAAAAUAGGUAUUAUUGUACUAAUUGAUAAGUAAAUCACAAUGACUGUGAGAAAAUCCUGGCCUAUAUUAUUACUUUGAUAGAAAAUUUAAUAUGGGAUAGUAUUGUCUGUAUAAUAUUAAAAUGUUUUCAUGGAUUUUUAGCUGCUGAAACUGGAAUCAAUAAACUUCAGUGUCUGUUGCUGCAAACAAA